GAUGAACGCUGGCGGCGUGCCUAAUACAUGCAAGUCGAGCGAACGGACGAGAAGCUUGCUUCUCUGAUGUUAGCGGCGGACGGGUGAGUAACACGUGGAUAACCUACCUAUAAGACUGGGAUAACUUCGGGAAACCGGAGCUAAUACCGGAUGAUAUUUUGAACCGCAUGGUUCAAAAGUGAAAGACGGUCUUGCUGUCACUUAUAGAUGGAUCCGCGCUGCAUUAGCUAGUUGGUAAGGUAACGGCUUACCAAGGCAACGAUGCAUAGCCGACCUGAGAGGGUGAUCGGCCACACUGGAACUGAGACACGGCCCAGACCCCGACGGGGGGCAGCAGUAGGGAAUCUUCCGAAAUGGGCGAAAGCCUGACGGAGCAACGCCGCGUGAGUGAUGAAGGUCUUCGGAUCGUAAAACUCUUUUAUUAGGGAAAAACAAAUGUGUAAGUAACUGGGCACAUCUUGACGGUACCAAAUCAAAAAGCCACGGCUAACUACGG
rnacentral:rRNA from 1 species